rnacentral:rRNA from 1 species
AUGGCACUUGCCACUGAGCUGGAACCUCCCUCCUUCAGAGCAUUGACAACCUCUUCGUUAUCGGAGACCACCUCAAUUUUGCUACAGCACACGUUAGAAGUGUUCAGAACCAGCUUCGGUCAGUCAAGGUCAGCGCGCGGGUCUGGGAAGCUCUUCGCUAUCAGGCACGCCUACAAUGAGCGCUGCAAGUGCUCGCUCGAGGAGGGCGUCGUUGCCCAUGUAACCGGUGACUUCCGCAAGCGCCUACCGGACGGCGCCGUCAUCCCAGCCUCUGGUAGGCGUGGCCGUCACCGCCCUGCAGACUGCCCGACACGCCUUGGGCGCUCUGGAGAGGUUGCUAGCCCGGUCAACGAAGACACCCGGGGCCGCUCGUCCCCUUCCUCGCCACGAUCGACCUCCUGUGACGUGAUUCAGCUCACCUCCGUGAUAGGCGAGGACUCUUGGCUGCAGUGGAUCACUCCCUGUUUUGGCGCCAAGCAACGACAGGCGGCUGUGUGCCCUGCUCUGGCUCCACAGACGCCAACACCUCCCCGUACCACGACCCUGGACAUCAUCGAGAUCAUCCCGUCCUCUCCUGCAGUGCAAGACAGUGGAGCUGCUGCUCCAUCUCCUUCCUCCGAAGCUGAAGCUGAGCCGGCCACCCCGAUCUUUGUCCCGGCGGUCAGCCCGGUUGCUGGCAAUGCCGGCCACCCCUGUUUGUGGCCUGCCGGUCACCCCUGCUCGCUGCACCAAGCUCGCCCUCCCCAAGGCCAAGACCACCGACAAGGAGAAGGAAGACGCUGGCUGGGGUCGUAG